CCUACGGGCGGCAGCAGUGAGGAAUAUUGGUCAAUGGGCGCGAGCCUGAACCAGCCAAGUAGCGUGAAGGAUGACUGCCCUACGGGUUGUAAACUUCUUUUAUAAAGGAAUAAAGUGAGGCACGUGUGCCUUUUUGUAUGUACUUUAUGAAUAAGGAUCGGCUAACUCCGUGCCAGCAGCCGCGGUAAUACGGAGGAUCCGAGCGUUAUCCGGAUUUAUUGGGUUUAAAGGGAGAGUAGAUGGGUUGUUAAGUCAGUGGUCAAAUUGAGGGGUGAAACCCCUUCCCGCCAUUGAAACUGGCUCUCUUGAGUGGAAGAGAAGUAUGCGGAAUGCGUGGUGUAGCGGUGAAAUGCAUAGAGAUCACGCAGAACCCCGAUUGCGAAGGCAGCCUUCGGGCGCCCUACUGACGCUGAGGCACGAAAGUGCGGGGAUCGAACAGGAUUAGAUACCCUAGUAGUC
rnacentral:rRNA from 1 species